rnacentral:sRNA from 1 species
UUUACCCGACCCGACGCCGGCGUGAUGUGGCUUCCGCUGGUGCUGCUCCUGGCUGUGCUGCUGCUGGCCGUCCUCUGCAAAGUUUACUUGGGACUAUUCUCUGGCACCUCCCCGAAUCCUUUCUCCGAAGAUGUCAAACGGCCCCCAGCGCCCCUGGUAACUGACAAGGAGGCCAGGAAGAAGGUUCUCAAACAAGCUUUUUCAGCCAACCAAGUGCCGGAGAAGCUGGAUGUGGUGGUAAUUGGCAGUGGCUUUGGGGGCCUGGCUGCAGCUGCAAUUCUAGCUAAAGCUGGCAAGCGAGUCCUGGUGCUGGAACAACAUACCAAGGCAGGGGGCUGCUGUCAUACCUUUGGAAAGAAUGGCCUUGAAUUUGACACAGGUAAGACUUGUGUGGAAAAGGGUUGGGAGCAUGGCUGUAUGUUGAAGAGGCUUGGAGCAGCCCUUGUGGGGUGAUACUGAGCAUUUCUGUUGUUUUGGAAGUGCCAUCUUCUCUCUGGGUACUUUUUUUCUUUGUUUGUUUCAGACAGAGUCUCACUUCAUCACCCAGGCUGGAGCGCAGUGGUGUGAUCCCAGCUUACUGUAACGUCUACCUCCUGAGUUCGUGAUUCUCAUGCCUCAGUCUCCCGAGUGGCUGGGAUUACACUCAGUAAUCCCACCAAG